AUCAUUGAUGGUGUUAUUCACCAUAAGUGCAGCAAGAAAGUCGUCUGUCCUCAAGACAACAAUCCUACUUAUCGCCACAAACUGAUGCUGAAAGACAAGUGCGAUUUGAGCGUUUCCAGACACGAAAGGCUCUCCAACCUGGCUCUCAAGAAUCUCAGAAACGGUUUCUGUGUUCACCCAUACGAUGGAUGGCCAAAUGAAGGGGGAACCCUCGUUUAUUGGGAACACUGCGAAAGUGAAAGGUUGAAGCUGGACUUUUUCAACCUGGAUCCACCAUCAGUAGAGGUGUAAUUGUCAAUGCAGCAGGGGAUAUAUUUACCAAAUAGAUAGUAUUUUGGGGAUACCAUAAUUAAAAGGGGUUUAGACUUGUCUAACAGAACGAUAGCAUACUGGCAAUGCCAUAACAAAAUUGAGUAGAGAUAAUGCAUGUAGUAAGACGCUCAUUUCAUUUCAUAGACAGAUCAUGAUAUGUAAGCAGGCAUCGUGCACGCGGAUCUAUUCCUGUGUAGAACCAUCAUCAGUAGGGCUGUAGUUGUCACUGUAGAAAGGACUAGAUUUAUACUUAAUAUGGAGUAAUGUUGGGAUACCAUAAUUGAAAGGGGUCUAGACUUGUCUAAAGGGGAAAGUAAAGUUUCUCUUGAACACUG